CAACAGGGAUUGCCCUAGUAACGGCGAGUGAAGCGGCAACAGCUCAAAUUUGAAAUCUGGCGUCUUUGGCGUCCGAGUUGUAAUUUGCAGAGGGCGCUUUGGUAUUGGCAGCGGUCCAAGUUCCUUGGAACAGGACGUCACAGAGGGUGAGAAUCCCGUACGUGGUCGCUAACCUUUACCGUGUAAAGCCCCUUCGACGAGUCGAGUUGUUUGGGAAUGCAGCUCUAAAUGGGAGGUAAAUUUCUUCUAAAGCUAAAUACUGGCCAGAGACCGAUAGCGCACAAGUAGAGUGAUCGAAAGAUGAAAAGCACUUUGGAAAGAGAGUUAAAAAGCACGUGAAAUUGUUGAAAGGGAAGCGCUUGCAGCCAGACUUGCCUGUAGUUGCUCAUCCGGGUUUUUACCCGGUGCACUCUUCUAUAGGCAGGCCAGCAUCAGUUUGGGCGGUUAGAUAAAGGUCUCUGUCAUGUACCUCUCUUCGGGGAGAACUUAUAGGGGAGACGAAAUGUAACCAGCCUGGACUGAGGUCCGCGCAUCUGCUAGGAUGCUGGCGUAAUGGCUGUAAGCGGCCCGUCUUGAAACACGGACCAAGGAGUCUAACAUCUAUGCGAGUGUUUGGGUGUCAAGCCCGAGCGCGUAAUGAAAGUGAACGGAGGUGGGAACCUUUCGGGGUGCACCAUCGACCGAUCCUGAUGUCUUCGGAUGGAUUUGAGUAAGAGCAUAGCUGUUGGGACCCGAAAGAUGGUGAACUAUGCUUGAAUAGGGUGAAGCCAGAGGAAACUCUGGUGGAGGCUCGCAGCGGUUCUGACGUGCAAAUCGAUCG
rnacentral:rRNA from 1 species